AGCAGCCGCGGUAAUUCCAGCUCCAAUAGCGUAUAUUAAAGUUGCUGCAGUUAAAAAGCUCGUAGUUGAAUUUCGGGAUCAAUAUGUUGGUCGUGCCUCGGUACGUACUAGCUUAUUGGUUUCUCCCUUCUGACGAACCAUGAUGUCAUUUAUUUGGUGUUAUGAGGAAUCAGGACUGUUACUUUGAAAAAAUUAGAGUGUUUAAAGCAGGCUCACGCUUGAAUACAUUAGCAUGGAAUAAUGAAAUAGGACGUUUGAUUCUAUUUUGUUGGUUUCUAGGAUCGACGUAAUGAUUAAUAGGGAUAGUUGGGGGCAUUAGUAUUCAAUUGUCAGAGGUGAAAUUCUUGGAUUUAUUGAAGACUAACUACUGCGAAAGCAUUUGCCAAGGAUGUUUUCAUUAAUCAAGAACGAAAGUUAGGGGAUCGAAGACGAUCAGAUACCGUCGUAGUCUUAACCAUAAACUAUGCCGACUAGGGAUCGGAUGAUGUUAAUUUUUUAAUGACUCAUUCGGCGACUUACG
rnacentral:rRNA from 1 species